CACAUCUUUUUACUGAUGAGACUAGCAUCAGAUUUUGUCACAUUUAGAGUCAUAGUCUAGCAAACCCUGACAUUGUCAUUCUCUGGACAACAAGCCUGGUAUUCUGUAAUGCCUUCAAGUGUUUUAGAGUGUUAUUCCCAUAAUAUGUAACUAUUACUUCAAAUAAACAUUCGUAUUUGCUGAUCUAUUUUCUUAAGAACAAGAGAGUGUCUCUGGAUUCUAUUGUAGUGUGAAUUCAGAGAAAGAAACGAGCUCUGACAGUGCAGCCUAGGGAAGAAGACUCCAGUCUGUUACUGUUUACUCAUUGAAAACGCAUACCAAAUCCUACACAAGUUCUUUAAAGCUGCAUAGCUCCCAAGAAAUCCAUACUGGGCUUUAUAAAAGAGGUGCUGGUUGACAGAAAGACAGAAAAACUGAGAAAGUGAUUUUAAAAUAUAACAUGAAGUUAAGUGAAGAUACAGGAACCCAGGAUAGCUAUAUAAGAAAAAAAGUGCACUGUAUGCUAUGAUUUGGGCCUUUAUGUGACAAUAUUUAUUUCUAGUUGGGGUACUACUGAACAAACUUUUGGAGAGAAGCAGGCCGUAAGAACUCUAGAAGUCUACAGAAGUUGUGAUGAGAAGUUAGGAGUGGCGAUGAGCAAGUCAAUGAAUUGUCUAAUGAAGCCUAAUGGAAGCGUCAGUGGGGAGUGGUUUAAUUAACUGAGGAAACUUGUCUCUGGCUGCCAAACUCAAGACUGUAGAAUGAAGAGGCAUUGUGUUCACAGAGAGAGACUGAAAGUAAAUGGUGUAGAAUCCACACAGGGCAAUGAGAAGAACAGGGACCAGAGCUGUCUGGCAUCAGGCUGCAUGCCCUUUGGAGAGUGGCGGGAUGCCUAGGAGAGUGCAGACUUCAGUGCUCAGCCCACAGAUCAGAAGUCCAAUCUCUCCAUGUACUUCCUCAUGGAUGAAGUUCCCACAGCCAAGACCAAAUUUACUCUUCUGACUUUGGGAGAAUUAGAAUGGUGCAAAGCAACAGAACGGAAAGAGAGCUGGCUCCUCUCUCCAGUCAUUUAUCUCCAGUCUUAAUGUCGUUUCCUCACUGGGGCAGUAGUCUAUGCAGAAGAAGGUUCUAGCAAUGAUCUACAGCUCCACAGGUUUUUCACGGCAGAUGUAUGCGGUGACCAGUUGUCUUCAUCAUCCUUCUCCGAACAUAAACUUCACCUUAAACUUCAUGCCUGUACUCCAUGGACUUCCAUCUGGUGAGAAAGGUACUGACGGAUUUUCCAGGUAGCUGCAUCCUUUUUCCUUCUCUUCACAUCCCGCAUAGUACAAUCCAAAGACAGUGUAAAGUUUUGUACAAAAGCUACUGAAUGUCCCAGUAUGGCUUACAUUUAUAGAAUAAACCAACCAAAAUGUUGGGGUCGGGAAACUCAGGGGCUUAAAGACCAAUUGAAACAAGUUAUCUUGUCCUGUAACAUGUUUCUACAAGCAACAGGGGACAAGGAAAGUCUUUUACUGGGGAAAGAAAGAUGAAUUUGACCAUGACUUUGAAUUCUGAAGAUUCAGUGGCAGAAUUUGACAGGCAGGGUAGAUUUUUAAAGAGUAUAAACUGAGGAAGACCAAGAAGCAACUUCUGCAUGGAGAGGGUGAGGACCUGAAUUGGGAAAGUGACAGUAACAUAGGGACAGACUUCAGAGUCAAGACAACAGGCUCUUAAAUGUUGGCUGGGACAUUUAAAAACCACACCAUGGGGGGCUGGGGAUUUA
rnacentral:sRNA from 1 species